CUAAAUUUAACGUUUUAUUAUCAGGACAACUUGUUCAUACUGAUAUUGUUCAACACCUUUUUAAAUAUGUUAAUUCAUUAUUUUUAUUAAUGUAUUUUGCAUUUAUUUUAGCCUUUUCUUUGCCAAAAUGAACGAUGAGGUGCCACUUCCGGCGUCCAUGACCGUUUGACCGUUGACACUUUGUAAGAUUUGGGAAGCUCGUUAAAACUGUCGUUACCGUGCAGUGGCGUUGUACGAUAUGGGAUAUUUUUGCCCCAGUUGGAUAUAAAUUUCCGGUGGUGAAUCAGGAAAUAUCUUUUGAAAGCCAACUCUGACGCUGCUGCUGUUGGAUUUGUGAAGCUCAUCAUUUCCUCAGCUCCAAAGGCUCCUUUCCCAUGACGACUGACUCAACAUGAGGUGUUCAGAACAGAGUCCAAAAUGUCUUUAACCACAACAUUUACUCAGCUGUGCGACCACUGCAGAUAAUUCCCAUCCUCUUAAAUUCCUAGCCCCUGUAAUAAUCUCUUAAAGCCAUUUUUUAUGAAGUCAGCCAUUGUGAAGGAAUGUCAUCGAGCCACACGGCAAUGCCUCUCCUCUCUACAGUAAAACAAUGAGGUAAGAGAAAGAGGAGGAUGGGGCACGUUUUGAGAAAUGUGAAUGCACAGCUCUGUAUUUUUAUCGCCAUUAUCUCUAUUAUCAUCCGCUCCUCUCCCUCUCCCUCUAUUGUGUCUUCUGUUGUCUCCUGACAUCCCCGAGUGUGGCGGCCAUUGUGGAGAACUCAUAAGCCUGUUCAUUAUCUGCAUCCCAUAAUAAUAUUAGAUGCUGUCAGGGUGUCUGUGGAAGGCUAUUUUUAACAGCCUGCACCGAGAGACAACCAGAGAGUGGGGAAGACGGUCAGAGAUGGGAAAAAAAAAAGAAAAUAGAGGAAGAAGGAGAGAUGGGAGAUAAUUGCAUCCUUCCCCAAUUUAGGUGACAUCAACCCACGGUUUUCUCUCUGCCUCUGAGUAAGUAUCUGUAUGCCAAUUACCAGGACACACCAACGCCAUGGCAACAGCAUCAGGCAACUAGUACAAGACUGUUUUCAGAGAACAGGAGAGUAAAGGAGGAGAAAAGAGAGGAGAGGCUUCCCCUUUUCCUUCCCAGGCAGACAUGUGGUGUAGCUGCUGAGCUGUCACGAGGACACACCACACACAUCGCCUCUGCUCACAUCCACCGAUGCACAGAAUGAAAAUCCCUCCCCUCCUCCUCCUCCUCCUCCCGCCCUCCACUCCGUUUCUCCCUCACUCUCCACCACUUACAUGUCAAUUUCUCUCCCGGCUGCCACUUGCCAACACAGUCAUCAAUCUCUUGGUCUGUCUGCCUCACUGGCAGAAUCAAUGGGCUGUCCUUGGAGCAGGUGUUGAUACUGCUGCAGUGUACAAGGCUAGGGCCACCUGACUGGAAUAUACUGUUACAUCAGUACCACUGCCAAUUUUGAAGCGCAUUCGUGCUUUUGUCAAUUUUGUCUCGACUCUUGUUUGUGAAACCCUCAAGGAUGGCGACAAAGCUUUGCUGGGAAACCUCUCUGCUAAUGAGAAAAUAUCCAUAGUUCUAGUCACUUCAGAGCCAAUCCACAGGAAACUGUAAACAGAAGUUCCCAGAGAAGCUCUCAGUCCGAUAUGCGUGUGUUUGCAUGUGUACGAGUUCGGAAAGAUGAGGGGGAGAUCAAAGCUUCCCCGAGAGGAUUCCGGAUUAUCCUCCCACUGAGGGAAAGAACCAGAAGCAGGGAGGUAGGACGCAAGAGAAGAGGAGAAAAAAAUAAAAAAAGAAAGAGAGGAGGCAGCUCUUUAUAUAAUAGCUCACUGCAUAAUAUAUAAAGAAACCAGAAAUAACAGCAGGGGAUGUCUCUCUGCAAUGUGUUGAAGAGCGAUGCUUCCCCAGAGGCUGAAAGAAAUGCCUCAGCACACAUACACAGCAGCAGCCUACAAAUGCAAUUAUCUGCAGUUAAGCACAGUCGACACUGACAUGUCACAUGCAUGUUUUACACACUCAUACCCAUAUGUUUCUAGAUGAGUGUGUUAUUGCCCGUGUGUAUUUGAUUUUAUUGUUCAUUCAGGGGCAGAAGGGAAGCCUCUUUACUUCCUACUGUCACCAUGACACUGGAGGAAGAUCAGCUUCUUAGGUCUGUGGGUAUCUUUUUCUCACAUACCCACAUACUGUAUAUUUCAUUGUUUUAUCCAUCUGCCUCUUACCAUGCUCAGGCGUCUUUUGUUCUCUCUGUGUCAUUUCUUGUCACUCACAGUUACCGUCCUGUUCUCUUUUUCCUUCAUUUCUGUCUCCUCAUUGCUUUUCCACAUCCUUCCUCUCUUGCUCAAUUUUCCAUUUCUUGUGUUUCUAUCGUUGUUGUCAUUUUCUCUCUUUUAGCUCUGUGUCUCCCUCUCCUAACCUUUUCCUCUCAUAUUCCCCCAUCCCUCUCCCGCUUUCUCUCUCUGUCUCUCUCUGCUUGCAUGGGGUUGGGUUGAUUCAGCAGAGAGCUGCUGUUACAGAGGCAGAGAAGGUGAAUGGAGCUUGUGGCAUUUCAUUGUGAGAGGGGGGGUGGGGGGGGGGGGGUAAAUAACACCGCGCUCCUCCAUUCAGACGUGAUCCCAUCGGACAGCUCACUGUGGAGGGCAGUCAGGCGGACAGGUAGGCAGGACGGCAGAUACGGAGUCUCCCUCUGACACGAGACUCUGAGCUCAUGCACUCUCAACAACAUGCUUCCAGUAUCUGACCAGGCACUACACAUCAGACUGUUAGUUUUUUUUUUUUAAUAAAGAUGUGGCUGGCAAUGUAUGAUCUGAUUAUAAAUCAGAUUAAUGACAACUUGUAAAUGCAUACUCAGACUUUUUUUUUUUUUUUAAUUAAUCUGAUUCAGUUCUAUAUUUUUUUUACAAAAUGAGUCAAUAUUAAACCUUCUGGGGUAGAUAUCUUUGCUUUUUUUGUUUUUGCUUUUUUACUACUGUUGGAAAUUCUUGUUUCUAUUAAAAUGAAAAACAGUACUGCU